GAUGAACGCUGGCGGCGUGCCUAAUACAUGCAAGUCGAGCGAACAGACGAGGAGCUUGCUCCUCUGACGUUAGCGGCGGACGGGUGAGUAACACGUGGAUAACCUACCUAUAAGACUGGGAUAACUUCGGGAAACCGGAGCUAAUACCGGAUAAUAUAUUGAACCGCAUGGUUCAAUAGUGAAAGACGGUUUUGCUGUCACUUAUAGAUGGAUCCGCGCCGCAUUAGCUAGUUGGUAAGGUAACGGCUUACCAAGGCAACGAUGCGUAGCCGACCUGAGAGGGUGAUCGGCCACACUGGAACUGAGACACGGUCCAGACUCCUACGGGAGGCAGCAGUAGGGAAUAUUGCGCAAUGGGCGAAAGCCUGACGGAGCAACGCCGCGUGAGUGAAGAAGGUCUUCGGAUCGUAAAACUCUGUUAUUAGGGAAGAACAGAUGUGUAAGUAACUCUGCACGUCUUGACGGUACCUAAUCAAAAAGCACCGGCUAACUACGUG
rnacentral:rRNA from 1 species